GGGCAGUUACCAGAGUGGCCAAAUGGAGCUGACUGUAACUCAGCUGGCUUUCGCCUUCGGUGGUUCGAAUCCAUCACUGCCCACCU
rnacentral:tRNA from 1 species